rnacentral:rRNA from 1 species
AACGAACGCUGGCGGCAGGCCUUACACAUGCAAGUCGAACGGUAACAGGGAGCUUGCUCCGCUGACGAGUGGCGAACGGGUGAGUAAUAUAUCGGAACGUACCCAAGAGUGGGGGAUAACGUAGCGAAAGUUACGCUAAUACCGCAUACGAUCUAAGGAUGAAAGCAGGGGAUCUUCGGACCUUGUGCUCCUGGAGCGGC